AAUAGAUACCCUGGUAGUCCACGCUGUAAACGAUGAUUACUGGUUGUUAGCGAUAUAUAGCUAGUGACUGAGCGAAAGCAUUAAGUAAUCCACCUGGGGAGUACGUCGGCAACGAUGAAACUCAAAGGAAUUGACGGGGGCCCGCACAAGCGGAGGAACAUGUGGUUUAAUUCGAUGAUACGCGAGGAACCUUACCUGGGUUUAAAUGGGGAGUGACAGGUGUCGAAAGAUGCUUUUCCUUCGGGACACUCUUCAAGGUGCUGCAUGGUUGUCGUCAGCUCGUGCCGUGAGGUGUCGGGUUAAGCCCAUAACGAGCGCAACCCUUGCCGAUAGUUGCCAUCACGUAAAGGUGGGCACUCUAUCGGGACUGCCGGUGUAAACCGUGAGGAAGGUGGGGAUGACGUCAAAUCAGCACGGCCCUUACAUCCAGGGCUACACACGUGUUACAAUGGCCAGUACAGAGGGCCGCUACCCCGGCAGGGGGAUGCCAAUCUCGAAAAGCUGGUCUCAGUUCGGAUUGAAGUCUGGAACCCGACUUC
rnacentral:rRNA from 1 species